rnacentral:SRP_RNA from 1 species
UUGCUGUAAUGGCAUUCUAGUGGAAUCGUUUGCGUGUCUUUCGUUUGCAGAGUUUCCGUUUCGUUGAGGUGAAGUGUCCUGGUUCGACUCCCGCGGAGGGAAAGUUCCACUGCGAGAAAUCCAGUGAUUUUGAACUUACCCGGCAAUGGCAGCCCCACCGCCUCAGGGGAGAAAUCCAGCAGGGCAAAGCUGCCCGUGGGAGGGCGAUCAGGAUGGCACAUCCCUCUUAUUGUUACGGGACUUGCGGAUAGUCUGCGAAACCAUUUUU